UACGAAGGGUGCAAGCGUUAAUCGGAAUUACUGGGCGUAAAGCGCGCGUAGGUGGCUUGAUAAGUUGGAUGUGAAAUCCCCGGGCUCAACCUGGGAACUGCAUCCAAAACUGUCUGACUAGAGUGCGGUAGAGGGUAGUGGAAUUUCCAGUGUAGCGGUGAAAUGCGUAGAUAUUGGAAGGAACACCAGUGGCGAAGGCGACUACCUGGACCGGUACUGACGCUGAUGCGCGAAAGCGUGGGGAGCAAACAGG
rnacentral:rRNA from 1 species